rnacentral:rRNA from 1 species
AUUGAACGCUGGCGGCAGGCCUAACACAUGCAAGUCGGACGGUAGCACAGAGGAGCUUGCUCCUCGGGUGACGAGUGGCGGACGGGUGAGUAAUGUCUGGGGAUCUGCCCGAUAGAGGGGGAUAACCACUGGAAACGGUGGCUAAUGCCGCAUAACGUCGCAAGACCAAAGAGGGGGACCUUCGGGCCUCUCACUAUCGGAUGAACCCAGAGGGGAUUAGCUAGUAGGCGGGGUAAUGGCCCACCUAGGCGACGAUCCCUAGCUGGUCUGAGAGGAUGGCCAGCCACACUGGAACUGAGACACGGUCCAGACUCCUACGGGAGGCAGCAGUGGGGAAUAUUGCACAAUGGGCGCAAGCCUGAUGCAGCCAUGCCGCGUGUAUGAAGAAGGCCUUCGGGUUGUAAAGUACUUUCAGCGGGGAGGAAGGCGGUGAGGUUAAUAACCUUGCCGAUUGACGUUACCCGCAGAAGAAGCACCGGCUAACUCCGUGCCAGCCGCCGCCGUAA